UAUUGAAAAAAUAUGAAAAAUGGCUCAUUUGAGAGAAGACAACGUCCUGCGUUAUGACGUCGCCCAUUAUUGAAAUCUGACAUAUGAUAGACGUUUUUGCGAUCUAAAAGUCAUAUUCCUAUUAACUUCCAGUGUAGUGAGUGGCUUUAAUACAAUGCUACGUCAUAAUGGCCAAAUUUCUGCCCGCUUGAACGGCAAUAGCGCAGAUGCACAUGAAGAGGGGGGCAACUUUAAUUUUGGCGUUGGGUCUGGGGGACCUCCCUCAGAAUUGUUUUAGGCAUCUAAAGUUAAUUUCCUGCAUUUCUACUGGGGCUGUCCCUGACACACAAAUAAACAAAUUAUUGGUCGACCAAGAGUAGUUUUUUUUCUUCUUUUUUUCCCCCCAACCAAUCGAUUGGUCAAAAAUGAAAUGGGAAGAGUGCUUGUGAAAAGUGUUGCGGUAGCUAUUGAUAUAGAAAAUCGAGACGAAGCAGCUGCUUUAUAAGUGGGAUGCACUGUUGAGUGCUACAUCCUGAGAGGUUCCUGCUGAUUGUACGGAGAUUGUGAAAGACUGUUAAAUGGCAUCCCUUGAGAAGGCAUGAACAAGAUGUAUGUCAGGAGAAGUGCAGUAUUAUCAUAAGGAGAAGUGUACUUGGAAUACAGAGUAGGAAUGGUGGGAGAGAGGCAGAGGAGCUCUAAGAGGUAGGAAGAGGGUGCGCUUGAGUCGGUUAAAAAAAGGGGGGGAAGACAUGCACCGAGGUUAAAGAUGAGCCCGAGACAUGCACCGAGGUUAAAGAUGAGCCCGAGACAUGCACCGAGGUUAAAGAUGAGCCCGAGACAUGCACCGAGGUUAAAGAUGAGCCCGAGACAUGCACCGAGGUUAAAGAUGAGCCCGAGACAUGCACCGAGGUUAAAGAUGAGCCCGAGACAUGCACCGAGGUUAAAGAUGAGCCCGAGACAUGCACCGAGGUUAAAGAUGAGCCCGAGACAUGCACCGAGGUUAAAGAUGAGCCCGAGACAUGCACCGAGGUUAAAGAUGAGCCCGAGACAUGCACCGAGGAUAAAGAUGAGUCUUUCGUUUUUGGAAAAAGUGGGCCGUUGGCUUUUGGCUGAUCCAUUUGUUGUUUCAGGGUGGGUGAAAACCAAUUAUUGAAAGGAGGGAUUACUGGGGUAGUGGUAAAAGUUGAUCAACUGAAGGGGAAGAUUCCCUGGUUUGAUUCUCUUCGUUUGGUGCGAUGCACAGGGUGGCGAAAUGAGUCGUCUGUUCUUUUGAGUUUUGAUGUAUCAUAAAUGCAGUGUAACUGAACAAAGGCAAUAACAGGAGAAAGUGGUUUGGAGCAUCAAACUAUUGCAGAUGUGAUGUUAGGAUAUAUACGUUUUCGAGCUUUUGUGUCGAAUACAUUACAUUGUUACAGUUAUCAAUCUUAUGGGCAUGUGGCAGCAGUGUGUAGGAGGGAGGUUCUUAGGUGUGAGAAGUGUGCAGAAGGGCAUAAGACAAAGGAAUGUGUAGCAUUGGGGAAUGUUAAUGGUAUGUGUUAAUUGUAGGGGUGCCCAUGGAGCUGGGGAUCAGAAAUGUCACGUGUGAGAGAGGCAGGUUGAAGUUUCCAGGGUUAGAGUAGUGCAGAAGUUGUCAUGCUCAGGAAUAAAUAGGAUUUUUAGCAAUGGUUAUCAAUAGGGAUAGACCGAUAUUUUUGGCUGAUACCAAAAUCCAAUAUUUUCAUUGUCAAAUAACCCAAUAAUGAUAUUUAAAGUUUUAGUCCUUUUAAGCAUUCUAGUACAGUUAAAUAGUUGAAAAACACACUGACCAAAAAGUUAUAUUCUAGGCAUUUACAUAUGUCCUGUCAUGACAUUGCCAUCUUUGGGUACAGCGAGCACCAUCCCCCUCUCUGUCUCCUACACUCAGGCUGCUGCGAUCUCAGGUCGUAAAUUCCUGGAGGAGAUGAUCUCAUCAUGGCCACAGUAUAGAGAGAGAGAGAGAGUGAGUUUUCAUAGAGCGAACAAAGGAAUUUCUUCCACCCCCCCGAACUUGAGGUCCAAACAACAUUUAUGUUCUGGAGAAGGUAUAAAAGAUCGGUGAAGAAUCCAGCUAUGGCCACAUUACCAUAACACUGUUUAUACAAUAGCCUCAGAUAUGAGGCUGAAAUCUAAUUGUUGUAUAAGAUGAAUGAGUGAGGAUGAUACUGUUUGUGAAAUUGUUUAAUGUGAUUUUGGACUGUUUAAUGCAGGAAACUCCAAUUCCCUUUGGAGUUUAACUAAAUCAGAGGACCGCCCAUGAGCACAGUUAUGGUCUGGCGUCCUGGGACAGGCCCCUUUCUGCUCUUCCGAAUAAAAAACCCCACCUUGAGAAUUUCUCAACAGACCAUGUUUCUCUCAAUUACGAGAGGACUAAGGUUGAGACCAGCUUACCUCGAUAACGAGAGGGCCAAGGUUUGAGAGGAGACCAUAAACCUGAGUGUAAGCUAAGGUUUGAGUAGAUGGCUGACUCUUUUAACCAUACCACGUGGUUAAACUCUUAGACUAUCGAUACCGACAGAAUAAGAACAAGUCUUUGAUAUUAAUUACUAGUCUGCAGCUAGGAAUUCGGUAUCAUUGAACGCGAAGACUGACAACCACCGAAAAAUCUAUUCUAUAAAGACAUGAAUGAAUGUCACUCUGAACUAUCCAUUCUAACCACGAGAGAGAGAGAGAGAGGGCGGACAGACUCUACAACAGAAACAAACUUUUCAACAGAGAUCUCGGCGACACACUGAGCGUAAAUAUAUAUAUUGAUUGCAAUUGUUCCCGAAUAGGUGAGCAUUCAUGUGCAAAGGAUUAGCAUUUCAAUUGUUAUAAUUAUCAGUCUAGGACAGAGGAGCCUCUUAAAGAAGAAGUUACAGGUCUGUGAGAGACAGAAAUCUUGCUUGUUUGUAGGUGACCAAAUACUUAUUUUACACCAUAAUUUGCAAAUAAAUUCAUUAAAAAUCCUACAAUGUGAUUUUCUGGAUUUUUCUUUCUCAUUUUGUCUGUCAUAGUUGAAGUGUACCUAUGAAAAUUAAAGGCCUCAUCUUUUUAAGUGGGAGAACUUGCACAAUUGGUGGCUGACUAAAUACUUUUUUGCCCCACUGUACAUAUUGGUUAUCAUUUACAAUGCCUCAAACAAUUAGUGCUCUUUUUGUCAUGUUUUGUUCUCUCUUCCAUGGUCACCUCCUGGUGUUUCCAGGAGCGGUUCAUAGUGAUCUGGGAACCCACCGGGACACUGAAGAAGGCAUCAUGGGAAGAGAGAGACAGGAUCCUGCAGGUCUACUUCCCUUAAGAGGGCCGCAGGCUUACAGCACCCCGUCUUCGAGGAGAACCUGAAGGUGGAACCCUAUCAGGAUCGUCAUGAGGAUGUGUUGGAUCUGUGCCAGGUCCAGUUUGAACCUGACUCCUCAGAAUACAUCAGGGUGCAUGCAGCCACCUUGAGGAUCUUGAGAAAUGGGGAGGUAUGAUCUUCUGCGCUCCACCAGACACUUUGGAGGCCUUGUCUGGUACCUGGUCAAUGCCAGGAGGGUGAAUGGACUCAUCAUAGACAUGCUGCAGAAAGACCUAUGGCAAGAUGCAGUGAGUCUGGUGGGUCUGUUCAACAAGGUCCAGCCACACAGUGAAACAGCCCAGGAGGCCUCCAGCCAACAGGCCUCUGGACUGGACCUGCUCAAGAUCUACGCUAAGCGAGAGUCCCAGAGGGCAGGAUACGUAGAGCAGGCCUACGAGCAGACUUCCGCAGAGAUCCGUCUGACCGUCAUGCAUCACCAUACCUAACCACUGGAGAGCUCUGUCACAUCACAGCAUAGCUCCAUCUAACCGUCCCAUACAUCUCACACCCACAAUAAACCAACGGAGCAGUGUCAUUCUCCCCAAUGGCCUGACUAUCCAUGACCCCAAUCUUUAAUCAACUGGACAAUUACGGCUAACAAAGAGAAUAACUUAGUCCUUGAACUAUGGAGCUCAUCUUGAACCACUUGCAAGCCAAGUGUCCAUUGCCAAUGAAUGGCAUCAAAAUGUGCACAUAAUUGGGAUGCACCAAGCUUGACUUCUGUCGACGCAGUGCAGAUAUUCACUUCUGCAUUUCAACCUUGUAAUUUGUCCAUAACCUUAAUCAUACUGUAUCUCAACAUUGGAACUGACUGUAAGCUGUUUAAUUAUCAUGUACAUACAAAAUAAAAAUGUUUAUAUA